rnacentral:rRNA from 1 species
UACGUAGGGGGCAAGCGUUGUCCGGAAUCAUUGGGCGUAAAGCGCGUGUAGGCGGCUUCGUAAGUCCGUUGUGAAAGUCCAGGGCUCAACCCUGGAAUGCCGGUGGAUACUGUCGGGCUCGAGUCCGGAAGAGGCGAGUGGAAUUCCUGGUGUAGCGGUGAAAUGCGCAGAUAUCAGGAGGAACACCAAUGGCGAAGGCAGCUCGCUGGGACGGUACUGACGCUGAGACGCGAAAGCGUGGGGAGCAAACAGG